CCCACAGCUGUUCUGGGGAGCAGGAGCUGAGGCCCCAGAGCUGAAGCAGAGUGAACACAUGACAGUGAUGUGCAUUUGUGGAGAAGCCAUUGUAUUUCCGUGGAUGUCUGGGCUACCACUGAUCAAGGUGUUCAAGACCCCCAGACUGGAGAGAGACAUUGGACUUCCCUCCUUUGCUGUCUCCUCUCUCCCUAGAGAAGAUCUCCUGGAGAUGAAUAACUACAAAGCCACCUGCCUAGAAGUCUCAAGAGCUGUUUUCUCAACCUGGGUACCCCAAGGUGGCUGAAGCAAAACUUUGCUGUUUAUACACCAAAAACUAAGAAACAAGGAAGGGUUGGAGAGAUGGCUCAGUGGAUAAAGGGGCUUAUAGCCAAGCCUGACCACCUGGGUUUGAUUCCUGAGACCCACACAAUGGAAGGGGGGGGGGGAAAUCCUAUACUUUGUCCUGUG